UUUUCCAAGGUGCUAAUAUACUAUAUAAAUAAGAUGAGAAGUAGAGAGGGAAAUCACAAUUAGCAACAAUAAGUAAAAAAUGAAGUUGUUUUGGAUCCAUAGUUGUAUGUUACUCUCUUUCCUCCUUGUAUUUGUAUCAGCCAAUAUCUCUUUGGCACCAAACUCCUUCGUCCCUACAGAUGAUCAAGUGAUUUCGUGGAUAUUGAGAAGACAUGGCCCUCGGCCACCGCCACCGCCACCGCCAUCACCAAUUGAUGCACCUAGUCCUGGAUAUUCUAUUUGAUACGGCACCAGUUUGAAUUUUGAAUAAAAAAAAAAGUCAAUAAUGAUGUUGCAGAUAUUAAGUCUACGCUUUUUUCUAGUACAUCUACUGUUUAUUUUUUAAUAAGAAAGCAGGUGAUUUUAUA